rfam:Salmo salar isolate Sally breed double haploid chromosome ssa14, whole genome shotgun sequence.
UGUACUCACUACUGUAAGUUGCUCUGGUUAAGAGCAUCUGCUAAAUGUUUUUCA